AAGUUAUAGUCCCCCGGCCCCUCCGGGCUGGGGUCUUCUAUACCACCCUUUGUUUAUUACACCUUUGUUGCUUUGGCAGGCCUGCCUUCGGGCUGCUGGCUCCGGCCGGCGAGCGUCUGCCAGAGGACCUAAACUCUGUUUGUCUAUACUGUCUGAGUACUAUAUAAUAGUUA
rnacentral:misc_RNA from 1 species